AUUGAACGCUGGCGGCAUGCUUUACACAUGCAAGUCGAACGGCAGCACGGGGGCUUGCUCCUGGUGGCGAGUGGCGAACGGGUGAGUAAUGCAUCGGAACGUACCCAGUAGUGGGGGAUAGCCCGGCGAAAGCCGGAUUAAUACCGCAUAUUUCCUGAGGGAGAAAGCGGGGGACCUUCGGGCCUCGCGCUACUGGAGCGGCUGAUGUCGGAUUAGCUAGUUGGUGAGGUAAAGGCUCACCAAGGCGACGAUCCGUAGCUGGUCUGAGAGGAUGAUCAGCCACACUGGGACUGAGACACGGCCCAGACUCCUACGGGAGGCAGCAGUGGGGGAAUUUUGGACAAUGGGGGCGAACCCUGAUCCAGCCAUGCCGCGUGAGUGAAGAAGGCCUCGGUUGUAA
rnacentral:rRNA from 1 species